GGCACGUAGCUCAGUUGGUUAGAGCACCACCUUGACAUGGUGGGGGUCGUUGGUUCGAAUCCAAUCGUGCCUACCA
rnacentral:tRNA from 1 species